rnacentral:rRNA from 1 species
CCUACGGGAGGCAGCAGUGGGGAAUAUUCCGCAAUGGGCGAAAGCCUGACGCAGCGACGCCGCGUGCGGGAUGAAGGUCUUCGGAUCGUAAACCUCUGUCAGCAGGGAAGAACGGUCGCUGUGCUAAUCAGCAGUGAAUUGACGGUACCUGCAAAGGAAGCAACGGCUAACUCCGUGCCAGCAGCCGCGGUAAUACGGAGGGUGCGAGCGUUAAUCGGAAUUACUGGGCGUAAAGCGCUCGUAGGCGGUAUGUCAAGUCAAGGGUGAAAUCCCCGCGCUCAACGUCGGAACUGCCUUGGAAACUGGCAAACUGGAGUGUGAGAGAGGAUAGCGGAAUUCCAGGUGUAGGAGUGAAAUGCGUAGAUAUAUGGAGGAACAUCAGUGGCGAAGGCGACUAUCUGGCACAUAACUGACGCUGAGGAGCGAAAGCGUGGGUAGCAAACAGGAUUAGAUACCCCUGUAGUC